UGGGAAACAGAUCACGUGAUCCCAGAGAUGCUGACCUAUGAUAGUUAGGGUUCAUCACACACUCAUCGUCCCUCCUUCCAUCUCCUUUAGCCUGAAUUUACCUUUGUUAUCAUUGCUUUAUUUUCCAGGAUAAUAGGAAAGACCCAAAGUCUGCUAAGAAGAAGGGACAUCAGAGGAACCCCUACCUUAUUUUUAUGCAUCUGGAAGCCUUAUUUGGAGCAGGAGGGGUUUACAUGCUCAAACCCCAUCAAGCUAACACGGAAGCACUAUUCCAGGGAGCCAGCAAGGGAGAUAGAAUGCUGCUUCUUAAAUUAGUCCCCUAGGAUCGAUGGAAUGUUGUCCCCAGAGAAGAGAACUGCCACCAUAUUGGGGCUGAAGGCCUACUGAGAAGUGUACUUACCUGGCACCGGCUUUCAUAGGUCUGGCCUUGAGCUCUCCAGAGAAGCUCAUGUCAGUGAGCAGAAAUUGAUAACCCCAAGAUAUAAAACUGUUGGGUUUUGUUGCUAUUUAACUUUUACUAAACUCAACAACAUUGCUGAGGAAUUAUCCUCUGAACCAGAUUGUCCUGAAGUCAGGCCUACAAUUGACGACAAGGAAAAAACUCUCCUGAAAAUGGCUUCAACAUACUUUAUAUACAGAGAUACGAAAAAUUGUGCUCUAUAUGUAUCAUAACAAUUGUAAUGCAUUCCACUGUUGUCAUGUAUUUAAUAAAAAAUAAUAAAAUCAAUUAAAAAAAAGAAAGAAAGAAAACGGCUUCAAGAGGCAAGGUUCCUCCAUCACGUGGGAAGGCAGCCAGGAGUUGGCAACCCAGCUCCUCUGACUUCUUGUCUUGCCAUCCUUCAAGCAUGGCUGUCACAUACAGGCAGACAUCCUGAUCAUGUUCCAAGUAGAAAGAAGAACCAGAUAGAAAAAAGGGAGAAUGGGCAUCCAAUCCCAUCUGUCCCUUUUCCAAAGCUUUCCCAGAAGCUGUACCCAGCAACUCCUACCCACAAUUCAUUGGCCAAGACAGGACCUCCACUACCUGUGAAGGAGGCUAAAAAAGGUGAGUCUUCUUUUCUUACCUUAUCAAUAUAGGAGAGCAGGGAGAAGGGAACUACAAAUGCACUGGGGUCAGCACACCAUGGUCUAGUCCAUAGCUGAGACUACCAGAAAAAACUGGAUGUUUCUGUCAAUCUUUUCUUCUUCUUCAAACAAGAUUAUUCUCCAAGCAUCACUCUCCAUUAGAGUACAUGGUGAAUAUUGGAAUAUGGAAGAGGAGUUAUUGCCCCUUGCCCCCUUCAUAGAAGAACAAAACAGCAAGAUGUGCUUUUUUAGAAAACAGACACCUAGUGAGUUACUUCACUUGGGGCCAAACCUGUGUUCUCAGCAGCAAAGGUGAUUAUUUUUCCUAAUUACUAUUGCUUUGCAUCUUGUUAUGUGAGCUGUCAGCGUCUUAAUUUAGCUGAUGACUUCCCACAAUCAUUUUAGAUUUAUUUAGUACCUAAUUUACUUUACAUAGCUUCUGCUGUGAACGUUAAUCAGAGGCCCAAAAACUCUUAAUAAGCUCAAUAUUUUACAGUGAACACGACCCUGAGGAGUGCUUCAUUGAAAAUGAUGACAAAGCACAGGGGCCGUCGCUUUCAGAAUCAAUAAGUUGCCGACUAACGAAUUAACGAGGCCCGGAACUCGUACUUCACUCCAGGCCUCCUGUAGCAGAUGCACAAAUGAGCAUGUGGAAAUAUAGCUGGUUCUUAGGAGAAAAUUUCCACUCACCCAGCAGCCAGAUGUAGGAGCAUCUCUGUAGUCUUAUAAAUAAUGACCAAAAAACAUACACCGUUCCAUCAUUAAAACACUCUUGGCUUUGCCACCAUCUCUUCAGCUAACUCUCUGGAGGUGAAACUCUUUUGUUUUAAUGUUUCCAGCAGUUCUGACCUUUUAUAUUAGUGGGGAAAAAAAUAAGGUUGGCAAAAAUUGUCCUUUUGAGGUGUCUCUCUCCAUAUAGCAAUUAGCAGCAAGUGUGAAAGGCAGGGACCCUGUCCCCACCCCAUCUAAUGCCUUUUGUAUUACUGUCACUCCUAAGUUAUCUGAAAAGUGCCCUGCAAAAAAAGUAGGAGCUCAGAGAACCUUGGUUGAAUACAUAAAUGACCUUCAUGGUGGCAGAGAGUCAAAGAAGGCAGAGGAUGAGACUGAGCAGGAUACAUGGCAGAGGGUGGCCAGGGGAUAUGUGCUAUAGAAAAGGCUGGAGUUCUCUGUUCCUUUCAGGUAGAGAAAGCGUUAUGGUUUGGAUCUGAGGUGUGCCCCCAUAUCUCACUUGUGAGACAGUGCAAGAAGUUUCAAAGGAGAAAAGUUUGGGUUGUAAGAGUCUCAAUCCAAUCAGUGAUUUAAUCCCCUGGUAGGGAUUAACCUAGGGGUAACUGAAGUGGUUGGGCGUGGCUGGAGGAGGUGGGGAUUUGGCACGGCUUUGGGUACCUAUUUGUAUCUGUAAAGUGGAAUCUCCCUCUGUUUUCUGAUCAUCAUGUGAACUGCGUUCCUCUCUUCUGCCAUGAUGUUCUGCCUCACCUCAAGCCCAGAGGAAUGGAGCCGGCCUUCUAUGGACUAAGACCUUUGAAACCUUGAGCCCCUAAAUAAAUCUUUUCUCAUCUUUUCUGGUUGGAUUUUUCAGUCUCAGAUGUGAAAAAAGCUGACCAAAACUGAAAGAAUUAUGGAAAAACUGGGAUUAAAAAGAGCAGCAGAGGGGCUGGGGUUGUGGCUCAGUGGUGGAGCGCUUACCUAGCAUGUGUGAGACACUGGGUUUGAUUCUCAGCAUCACAUACAAAUAAAAAAAAUAAAGUCCAUAGGCAACAUACAUAUAUGAGGAGAGAGAGAGAGAAAGAGAGACAGAGACAGAGACAGAGAAGCAGAGAAAACUUACCUUCCAGGUUGGGUUAGGAGAAACUGAUCCAAGCUUCUAGGCUCAAGUCCAGAAGGUGCAGACGAUGGGGAAGAAUCUGAAAAACAGACAAUGAGAACCCAAAAAGUGAGAGAGAGGGAGGAGGUGAAAGAAGCAAAGUCUCUUGGAUUUUGAGCCUCUAUCCCUUCAUCCCUGAAUUAAGAACCGGAAUACUUCCUCUGCCUAUCUGAAAAAGUUGGUGAGGAUUCAGUGAAAUGGUAGAUGCAAAAGUGUUUUCAAAUCUUCCAAAGAGCUUGGGCACAGUGGUGCAUGGCUAUAAUGCCAGCUACUCUGGAGGCUGAGGCCAGAACGUGGCCAGCCUUAGCAACCCAGUGAGACCUUGUCUCGAAAUAAAAUAAAAAGUGGUGGGAUUGUGGUUCCAUGGUACAGCACCCCUGAAUUCAAAAUUCCCAGUACUGGAAAAACAAAAUGCUUUUGUUCAAACUUUCAAAACAUUAUGUUAAUGUAAUGGGUCCUUUUAAAACUAAUUUUAGUCCUGGAAUGAGUAAUCAGGUGGCUUUGCUCACUACGGUGGUAAACUGGGUGCAGAGUGUGUCACGAAGGGAUGAUGCUCAUGGGUAUAAAUGGCCAUGGGGCUUCAAAGUCUCUCAGUGGGAGUUUCAGACACCCUAUGUGUUGUAGGACUCCACAGUUCCUAAAAUGCUUUCACACAGGAUAUUUUCUCACUAGCAAGAAUUCAUGAGUAUUGAGGAGUCCGAGACUCUACAGCUAGCUAGCAGCAGAGCCAGAAUGAGAGCCCCAGCCCUUUGGCUCCUAGUCUAAAGCUCCAGCCAUUGCAGGAAAGGCCUCCAGCAUGAUUUAAACCCAUGACUUCUUUGUUUCAAUCCAUGUAAGUUAAGAGCAAGAACUAGGAGAGGUUACACACGCCCCUGGACUCUAAUACCUCAACUCAGAGCAGAGGAACAGAAAAAGUAAGGGCACCAUGUUUCUCUAAAUUGGUUUCCUUUUUGCAAGGUCAAAUUUGUCUAUUUCUCUAGGAAGGAAUGCUGGGUGUCUGUGGCUCCCUGUGGAGUUCUGCAUGGGAGUCUGGCAAGUGGAAAGAGACAUCACAGUGAGCCAGCCCACCUGGCCUUCAUCAUGGAAGACCCAGACCCAUAAUCAAUUGCAAAGGGCUCAUCUGUUUGAGAGGCUGGCUCAUUUGAACCAAAUGCCUUUAACUGAAAGCUGGGAAAUACAUUGAGUUAGGUGGUCAUGCUAAAGAGUUAUGAGUGGUUUUUUUUUUUUUUUUUUGCCUUGGCUGUUGACAUUGACUGUCUGAAUUAUAUCAUUCUAAAGAGUGUAAGCAGUGGUCCGUUUUUUGAUUUCAAUUACAGAAACCAUUUUCAUUCCUGCUGAAGAGAGAGUAGAAUGAAUAUGCAAUAAAAUAAGUAGUUUUGUGAAAUGAACUGAGGAAGGUGUGUGAUCUGAUACAGGUGACCUCAUUCCCCUUUCAUAGUGUAAAUGACUACUGCUACCAAAGCAAAUCCAUAUCAUAAACUUUUUACCAGGGACUUACACAUACAUAAUUUAUAUGUGUGUACAUGCUUGCAGGCUUUUAUGAGCCUUAGAAAACCAACCUGGAAAUAUACUUCAUAUUACUUUUAUAGUCUAGACCACACAAUUAAGCAUUUAAUUAUGCAAUAAUUCUUUUCACAUGUUAGUUUUGAAAACCCUUCCAAGUAGAAGAUGAUGUGCAAAACUUCUUUCAUGUCCUCCACGAGACCUAAAACAAUCGUCAGCAAGUAGCUGGUAUUCCAGAAAUAUUUUUUCCUUAGUUAAUUUCAACUAAUAAAAUAUUAAUCAUUAGAUAUUAACAAAGAGCUGGAAAGGUAAGAAAGAGCACAUUGAUAAAAGUUGUAAAUAUGUCAAAGAAGGGGAUGACACUUGCAGCUUAGGGAGAUGACUCUGAAGUUGAAUAGAAGAUGAGGCUAGAAUGGGGCAGAAAGAAGCAAGAGAUGGUGGCAGCCGGGAGAGCUUUUGGAAACUGCUGGAAGAUCCAAGUGGGAAAAUGUCCAAUCAUGGAGACCUGGGAAAAGAUGAGCCAGAUGCAAGAGAUGUAGUAAAUGCAAUCAGUGGGGUCCCAUUGGAGUGGGAAGGAAGGGAUUCUGCAAUGACUCCUAGGUUUCAGGCUUGGACAGGUGUGUCAUUAUCCAAAAUAGAAAACAUAGCAUGAUGAAGAGGUGCAAAGAGAUACAGUUCUACAUUGAACAUUUUGGGUUUUGAAGACAGCUGGAAAUCUGCAUCAAAAUAGCUAGUUAUAAUUUAUAAAUGUAAUGGCCAAACUUAAAAGAGGAAGUUUAGGCUAGAAAUUAGACUUUGGGUUUGUCAGACACGGAUGGUGAUUAAAGACAUGGGUGUCAAUGAGAACACCCAAGAACUGUCAAGAGAAAGAGUGGAUAAAGAAGGAUGUUCUAAUGCAAGGCAGGCCCAUGGCAAAACUCAGGGAAAAGUUUUAGAGGGGCAGAAGGUAAUCCAGGGUGACACCUUGAGGGAUCAUACAGGUGAGAAGGUCCAAGGUCUCAAAGAGAUCAAAAAGCUGGAGAAAGGGAAUUUAAAAAGUAGGUGGUUGGUGAUUGUAAUUCAGAGAAAGCUAUGUCAGCUUAAUGAGAGUGUCUAGAAGGUGGUCACAGGGGACACUGUCUGAAAUUGAACGGUGAAAUCUCGUCCCUGCACGCUGUCUCUGUGCCAGAGUCUCAAACUUUUUCCUCUUUCUUCUUUUGACCCACACCUUCCCUUCUCCCCUAAUCUCACAAUUCAGCCAUAGUCCAGCUCACUCUUGCAUGUAAUCCAUCUAUCGGUUCCUACCAUAGAUCCUGUUGUUUGGUUUGAAAUUGGGCCACUGGGGAAGUACUUGGUAGAGAGAAAGUGGAGCUACUUGACCAGAAGACAACACUGGGUCUCUGCAGACAGAAAAUGCAGUCUGAUUUUCUAGUCUUUCAGUGAAUAUUUAAAUGUGAUGUUGUUUGCUGGUGGUAAUUGUUAUUUGAGUAAUGAGAAAGGUUUAAAGGUCACCUUUUGAAAAAAAAACAAGGGAGAGAAUUAAAUUACAGCAGAUGGGAUAGAGAGAGAAGAUGGGAGGGGAGGGGAGGGGGGAUAGUAGAGGAUAGGAAAGGUAGCAGAAUACAACAGUUACUAAUAUGGCAUUAUGUAAAAAUGUGGAUGUGUAACCGAUGUGAUUCUGCAAUCUGUAUAUGGGGUAAAAAUGGGAGUUCAUAACCCACUUGAAUCUAAAGUAUGAAAUAUGAGAUGUCAAGAGCUAUGUAAUGUUUUGAACAACCAAUAAAAAAUAAAUAAAAAUAAAGGUCACCUUUUACUGGACCAAAGAAAUUUUAUAUUGCACAAAGUAUAGAGGGCAGGGUGAUGGCCCAACUGCAUUUGCACAAGUUAGAUCGAAACUUACCUAUGUGUAGUAUGAAGAGUGGAUGUUUAGUCUGGGAAGAAAUAUGGGUACAAAUAACGGACAAGGUAUUUUAAUAUGACUUCAGUUUAAAAAGAUAAAAAGGACCAACAUGUAUUUAUCAGGCACUGCAUUCUAUAGAAGCUUUACACAUAUUACCUCAUUUAACACCUGCAAAAUCAGAAAGAGAUAAAACAAUAACUCACCCAGAUAUCACUUACUCAGUUCUUUAAACAGUCUGACAAUUUAAGUACUAAUAUCACCCCCAUUUUUCAGAAAAGGAAACUAGGGCACUGAGAUGCGAAAGCAGCCCGUUCUAAGGCAAGCUAGUAUAUAUUGGAGCCUGAAUUUGAGCUAAGGCCUCUGGACAUCAGAGUCCAGCUCUUCAGCACUUUGCUAAAAGAUUAUCUUGAGCAUUUUGCAGGUGAGAAAAAUAAUGCACAGAAAAAAUAAGCCACUGCUCCACAAUUACACAGAUGAGAAAGACAAAAAAAGGAAUCAAAAGCCACUGGCACAACUAGGAGGCCAAUUGUGAUUCAAUAUAAAAAGACUCAUCUAAUUACCAAGCUGCAAAGCAAUGCAACAGGCUGCCCUGUGGAUCCCCAGCACCCAGGUAUCUCCUGGAAAAAAGGCAUUAAUAUCUUUUAUUUCCAACACAAUUUAUCAUUUCCAAGGUGCUUUCUAGGGAGACUCCCCUUUUUGCUUCCUAAUUCACUCUGGCCAAGGGCUUCCAACUGAAAACAAACAAAUGUCACUGAUAUUUAGUUGGUUUUAAGAGGUCCUCAAUGUUUUUGUUGCCAAUGUUGUUUUUUACUAUUGAGCAGCAUUUGCUGCCCCUUUAAUCUCUAGUUCUGUGCACGCACCCAUCCAUUCAUGAGUUCAUUCAGCUCACAUUUACUUCUUGUUUGUGAAAUGCCAGGUGCUGUCCAGGUGCUGAGGAUGCACGCAGGAAGAAGGCACAGCCCUGCAGUGUUGAGAGCCACAGUCCAAGGGGCCCCAGCAAACUUUCAGACUGCCAGCUGAUGAUUGGCUCACAGAGGCCCCAGCAACUUCUAGCUGAUUGGCUCCUCUGUGGUGAUGCUCAUUGGGCUGUUUCCCCGCCCUUUCAGACUACAGAGCUGCUCACUGGGGGAUUUUUUUUGGCUCCGCCCAUGCGACCCAGCCAAUUGGCCUCAAGAGCAGGAGGAGUGGGGGAGGUUGAGAGGCUUGUGGGAAGCCGGUGGUGGCAGUUGGGCUCUGAAGGUUUUUCCUGAGGAGCUGUUUUGUUUGGCGUGUGUGGUUCUAAAAAUAAAGUUCAUUUCUUUUGACAAGUGGCUCCUGAAUUGU
rnacentral:lncRNA from 1 species